rnacentral:rRNA from 1 species
CUACGGGUGGCACCAGUGGGGAAUAUUGGACAAUGGGGGAAACCCUGAUCCAGCAAUGCCGCGUGUGUGAAGAAGGCCUGCGGGUUGUAAAGCACUUUCGGUUGGGAGGACUGCUUCUAGCACUAAUAUUGUUGGAAGUUGACGUUACCUUCAGAAGAAGCACCGGCUAACUCCGUGCCAGCAGCCGCGGUAAUACGGAGGGUGUAAGCGUUAAUCGGAAUUACUGGGCGUAAAGCGCGCGUAGGCGGCUAGAUCAGUCGGGUGUGAAAGCCCCGGGCUUAACCUGGGAACUGCAUCCGAUACUGUCUAGCUUGAGUACAGGAGAGGAGAGUGGAAUUCCACAUGUAGCGGUGAAAUGCGUAGAUAUGUGGAGGAACACCAAUGGCGAAGGCAGCUCUCUGGCCUGAUACUGACGCUGAGGUGCGAAAGCGUGGGGAGCAAACAGGAUUAGAUACCCCAGUAGUC